CAACAGGGUGUUCAACGCUCCACCGUUUCCGUUUAAACAAACGUUUCGCUACGUUUCGUUGGGGCUGAACGUGAUCUGUGUGGAGCGAUGAGGAGACUGUAACCUUCCUCACAUUAAUACAUGAAACAAACACAAAUGUCCUGUCCGUCAGCAGGAUUACAGAAAAACUUCAUUUUCAUGAAACUUGGUGGAAGGGUGUAGCAUCGGCCAGAGCAGAUCCGUGCAAACCCGUCGAGAUUAAGGUGAACGGUGUACCGUGUGCAACAUAACAGCCACCUCAAACAUCACUGUGCAGACAAAUGCAGCAGUGUCAAGCGUCAUCAGGAGGGAAAGAUGUAUUUGAGUUCCAUGCUAUCUCCCAUGGAUCCAGCCCCCUCUAUGCAGGAGCCCGAGACGACCAGCAGGACGCGACCCCUCACCAGUUUCCCACUUGCUAACAGUGACAGUUGUGUUUGCUGGAGAGAACAAACCAAGCUCUGUGGAGGUGAAGGGAAGAUGGAGGAGAUGAACAGAUCCAGAGGAGGUGAACAGAGGAAGAGCUUCCCUCAGGUGAAAGGAGUGAUUAACAGCGAGGCUGAAGGUGACUCCGACAAAGAAGGAACUGAAAGAGUGUCAACAUUUGUGCGGCAGUGGAAGUGAAAGUGUGAAAGCGAAAGGCAGAGGAGGGAGGUGAUGUCACUGUUGGUAACAAGUGUUUUUUAUGUGAGCAGGACCUGUGAACUAUCUGAACUGCUGUUCCUGUAAACAUCUCUGAAAUGAUUCAUUCAAUCAUCUUUGGAUUCAACAUUUUUGAGUUUUAUGGCAUGGAACAAAACUGUGGGGGGCAUUACUGUAGAUAAAUCAUAAUAACUCCGAAUCCGACCAAUCGCAGUAAGGUUUUGUACGCUGUUGACUGGACGAAUGUUGCACCAGACUGUGAGAUUAAAGGAUCCACGUUAAAGGUGGGGUAUGCGAUUCUAAUCCAAUACACGUCUUUUUGUCAAAUUCAGCGAAUGUCUCCUCACGCAGCUGUCCGUUCAGUGUGUGCGCUGAAAAAACUCUCUCUGGCUCUGUGAAUGG